rnacentral:rRNA from 1 species
GUCCCUAGUACGAGAGGACCGGGACGGACGGACCUCUGGUGUGCCAGUUGUUCUGCCAAGGGCAUGGCUGGUUGGCUACGUUCGGGAAGGAUAACCGCUGAAAGCAUCUAAGCGGGAAGCCUGCUUCGAGAUGAGGACUCCCGCCCCCUUUGAGGGGUUAAGGCUCCCUGGAGAUGACGGGGUUGAUAGGCCGGAUCUGGAAGCACGGUAACGUGUGGAGGUGACCGGUACUAAUAGGCCGAGGGCUUGUCCGUA